UCUCAGUUCACUCUACAAUUUUUAUAUGAUGUUUUUUGAUUUCUGUCUCGACCGGUAUCAACGUCAAAUCCACACCUCACAUAAACAAACAAAUAAUGCCUUAGUAGCACCGCACCAUACAAAACAUAAUAAAAGUAGAAAUAAAAAUUUAAAAACCAAAUCCAAAAUUACUAAAAUAAAAUAAGAAAGUUAAAACUAAAAUUACUAACAAAAUAAAAAAUAAAAUGC
rnacentral:lncRNA from 1 species